rnacentral:rRNA from 1 species
UCCAGAGACUGCAAGCGUUAUUCGGAUUCAUUGGGCGUAAAGGGUGCGCAGGCGGUUGGGUGCGUCAGGUGUGAAAGCCCGGGGCUUAACCCCGGAAUUGCGCCUGAAACUACAUGACUAGAGCAUUGGAGAGGGUAGCGGAAUUCACGGUGUAGCAGUGAAAUGCGUAGAUAUCGGGAGGAACACCAGAGGCGAAGGCGGCUACCUGGACAAUUGCUGACGCUCAGGCACGAAAGCGUGGGGAGCAAAAGGG